UCGAAUUGGGAGUCUUAUAUUUAUAUGUUGGCAGCUGCCUUUCUAUCCUUGCUAUGUUGCCUCCUCAUUGCAAAGAGAACUGAAAUGUGAUAUUUAUAUUUCUUAAAUGUUUCAGUUACACAGCAGUAGUAGCUUGUGAUUGAUAACAAAAUGUUCAAUAAUCCUAACAGACAAUGUUGAACCAAUGUCUUUGUAUUACCAUCCUUUUCUAAACUAUAAACUGUAGCAAAAUUAAUUUAUGUGGAUUUUGAAUUUGUAAGAGGUUGGACCUUGAAAACAUGCCUGUUUGCCUAAACUCCUUGCCCUGGCCAAAUGCUAACCGCACGCACAGUUGUUAUGUCUGCUAUAAAUUUGGGUCUGACUCCAAACAGUAAUUAGAUGGCCCAUAAACCCCAAGCCCUCAGCCCUUUAAUUAUGUUUUACAUUGAUAUGUCCUAGUGUACUUUCAAGCAAACUUGCCCAUGCAGUGGAGAGUUAAGAGUUAGUUGAAUCGCUACACACCUCACAAGGGGUCUGAACAAUGAGGUUUGAGUCUGACAAAAAACUUCAGCCGCGUUGAUUAAAAAUGCUAUGUCCACUGGCAGUGGUGUUCACUUGUCCACUCGAGCUAAAUCAAGUAUAGAAGAGGGCCGCUUUUCUAAAUUGAACAUCAGUUAAAGGUGGCAGUUCAGUUUUGAUGGGGAUUCCCAUCAAAGUGGCUAUGGCAAAUGCUUAGGGGCUGUCUACAUGGUCUUUGUAGUCCAGCCUGAAUCCCAGCACCUACCUGGUAAAUUCUAGAAUAAAAACACAUUCCAACCACUCAUUAAUCCAGAGCCAGAAUGCACAUGGGUAAAAAGUGGCUUGCGGGCAUUGAUUCUCUGAUUGUUUGGAUAUACGUCCUAUGGCAGAAUACAAUCCUCUUUUUAACUUACCCACACACAACUUCAGUUAUUUCAGUCUCGGACUGAAGAACGUAGUGAACGAUACAAUACACGGCCCUCAUUCAGGGGGGUUGCGGUUGGUGGGCGUCCCUUUGGUUGAUGCCUGGCAAUGUGGUUGGAUUGAUUUCCUGCCUGUUGGGCCCUGUCCGGGGCCUCCCCCGGGUCGGGCCACAGUGUCACCGGACCCCCCCGUCUCAGUUCCAAGGUGUCACGCUGCUAUAUUAUUGUGCUGGGGGAUAUGAGGAAUGCACUUCUAACUUUUCUCAGUUUCCUCCAGUUUUAUAUUUUAGGAGGACAUGAGGUCCUGGUCCACACUUGCGGAUUACCUGGUUUGGGGGGCCCGUUGCUGUCUUUGUCCUUGUCCACCUGGUCAUACUUUUGACCUAGUCUAAAAUCAAAUAGCCUCUGGAUUUAGGCCAGAGAAAUGUAUUAAUAAUUCCAAUUGGACUCUUAAUAUCUCACCCGGCACACCCAGAAGAGGACUGGUCACCCCUCUGAGCCUGGGUCCUCUCUAGGUUUCUUCCUAAAAUUCGGCCUUCUUAGGGAGUUUUUCCUAGCCACUGAAAUUCAGCACUACUGUUGUUUGCUCCUUGGGGUUUAAGGCCGGGUGUCUCUGUAAAGCACUUUGUGACAACUGCUGUUGUGAAAAGGGCUUUAUAAAUACAUUUGAUUGAUUGAUUGAACAAUAAAACACUGGAAGAAUUCUGUUUGAGUCAUCAGGCAACUUCAAGCUCUUAUUUGCAAAAAGGCAAAUCAAAACAAUGAUCAGUAAAUGCAGUAUCUGUGUUUCAGUUGCUCAAGUGAAAUGUUUUUGUACACUUUUUUUUAAAGAUACACUGCUUGCUUAAUAAACUUUAUUUACAAGAACA
ensembl:lncRNA